rnacentral:rRNA from 1 species
UUAAACCCAAAGAAUUUGGCGGUACUUUAUUCCAUUCAGAGGAACCUACCCCAUAAUUGAUAGUACACGAUUUACUUUACUUGAUUUAUUUGUUUGUAUAUCUCCGUUAACAGAAAAUCUUUUUAGAGUUUAAAUUUUCAUGAUUUAUAACUAUAAAGUAUUUCAGGUCAAGGUGCAGCUUAUAUUUAAGAGGAGGUGGGUUACAAUAAAUUUAAAUUUAUUACGGUUAUUUUGAUGAAAUAUUAAAAUUUAANGUGGAUUUGAUAGUAAAUUAAUUUAUUUAAUUUAAUUGAUAUUGGCUCUGAGGUGUGUACACAUC